UCCCCCACAUUGGUACUGAGACACGGACCAAUGUCCUACGGGAGGCAGCAGUGAGGAAUAUUGGUCAAUGGGCGUAAGCCUGAACCAGCCAAGUCGCGUGAGGGAUGAAGGUUCUAUGGAUCGUAAACCUCUUUUAUAAGGGAAUAAAGUGCGGGACGUGUCCCGUUUUGUAUGUACCUUAUGAAUAAGGAUCGGCUAACUCCGUGCCAGCAGCCGCGGUAAUACGGAGGAUCCGAGCGUUAUCCGGAUUUAUUGGGUUUAAAGGGUGCGUAGGCGGCCUUUUAAGUCAGCGGUGAAAGUCUGUGGCUCAACCAUAGAAUUGCCGUUGAAACUGGGAGGCUUGAGUAUGUUUGAGGCAGGCGGAAUGCGUGGUGUAGCGGUGAAAUGCUUAGAUAUCACGCAGAACCCCGAUUGCGAAGGCAGCCUGCCAAGCCAUGACUGACGCUGAUGCACGAAAGCGUGGGGAUCAAACAGGAUUAGAUACCCUGGUAGUCCACGCAGUAAACGAUGAUCACUAGCUGUUUGCGAUACACAGUAA
rnacentral:rRNA from 1 species